rnacentral:rRNA from 1 species
UACGUAGGGGGCAAGCGUUGUCCGGAAUCAUUGGGCGUAAAGCGCGUGUAGGCGGUCCGGUAAGUCCGCUGUGAAAGUCGGGGGCUCAACCCUCGGAUGCCGGUGGAUACUGUCGGGCUUGAGUACGGAAGAGGCGAGUGGAAUUCCUGGUGUAGCGGUGAAAUGCGCAGAUAUCGGGAGGAACACCAAUGGCGAAGGCAGCUUGCUGGGACGGUACUGACGCUGAGGCGCGAAAGCGUGGGGAGCAAACAGG